UAGGGAAUCUUCCACAAUGGACGGAAAGUCUGAUGGAGCAACGCCGCGUGAGUGAAGAAGGGUUUCGGCUCGUAAAGCUCUGUUGGUAGUGAAGAAAGAUAGAGGUAGUAACUGGCCUUUAUUUGACGGUAAUUACUUAGAAAGUCACGGCUAACUACGUGCC
rnacentral:rRNA from 1 species